rnacentral:lncRNA from 1 species
ACGACGACGAACUCCUUUCUUCAUCCUCGAGUAGAAAUGUGGACGGGUGAUUUUUAUUUUAUUUUGGACAAUGAAAUGUUGGUGGGUGAUGAUGCGCUCUUGAUCCUCAUGCUGCUUCUGCUCUUGAACAUGAGCUGAGUCAAACAAGAGCAGCAGGCAACAACUCCCUGGCAGAUGGGCCCUGCCUGGCAGCCAGCCCAAAUCGAAGCCGAUGGGAGCCAGUGGACCGCAGCCGCAGGAGCCGCCCACCUCGCCGUCUUCCAUCUCGAACGGACCCGGCCCCGGCCCCAGCCGUCAGCCCCUCCUCGCACCAAAACCCUAGGACGGGACGGGCACGGCCGCGCCUCCCUCCCUCCACCCGAGCCUAGCCCACAGUCCACCGCGGAGCCCAAAACCCUAACCCCCCACCCCACCUCCCAACUAUUAAAGCCUCCGCCCAAGAAAUCCGGCGCACGCACGCUCGCCCCUCCUAUCCCGUCAUCUCUUUCCUCCCCCCUCGGCGCAGCAACAGAGGUACGGUACGGCCUGCCCCCUCCCCUCCCCCCCGCUCCGCCCCGCCCCGCCCUAGGGUUCCGGGUCCGCGGCCCAGAUUUGGCCGCUUCCGCGCCCAGAAACCGCGCCUCACCCGUUUGCUUCGCCGGUUUCCGUGCAGAGAUGGCGGCGCUGGCGACGGCGACGGCGGUCCACGGGAGCCAGGCGGCGGGCGCGCUGGCCGUCGCCGCGCAGAGGCUGCUGGUCCUCCUCGCUCUCGCGGUGAGCCUCCGGCGCCCCUCUCCACAACUUACUACCUCCGCCUUGUUAUUGUGCCUGCGCGCGCUGCCUCCCUUGUUAUUUCGUUUGUUGUUACGAGUUGCUACCAGAUUGGCUCGUUGACCGUGAUUCCAGCGCCCGUGGAAUCGAAUUUCCUUUGUUCGUUAGGCGAGGCAAGGUGUGGUUUGCGUUCCUGAGGGUUUGACCCAAGGAAUCCGGCUGGCUUGGCCCCUAGAUCUGGAGGUGUAUGCCCUUGACCGUAAUGCUUAGGCAAUUUUGGCCUCUGUGUCCUGCUAAACAGUGCUUGUUUCGUUUCCGCGGUUGGUUUCUGCGACUAGAUCUAGGCAGAUCUAGGUGGCUGCAUUAGGGGAGGUACGGUUGCAGGUGCAAACCUAGGCCAGUACAUUGUGCCAACACAGAAAAAUAUCUGUCUGCAUUGCAUCAGGGCAGGUGUUGAUGAUUCCAGGCCUCAACUCUGCCAAGCCUCAAGAAGAAGAUUGUUAUUGUAGGGUUUUGCCAGUUGUAGAGCACGAUGAUUACCCAAAACUACUUUCGGCGCUUGGACUCCACCUGUGUCCCAUCAUGGAGCGCUUUUUUUUGUUUCCGAGUGUCAUUCGGACUCGGGACGUGGGUUUGUUACCGUGCCCUGUUUGGUUAGAGCAGUAAAUGAUGCUGUGAAUAAGGUUUAGGUGGGCGAAUGGAUAACGGUUACCGUUACAGUGGUAGUUUCCUAGCAAUUGUCGCGUGUGAUUGGCCGUAGGUUCACUCCACUAUAUAAAAAAAGGUUAGGUUCUCAGUUAUGUUUUUGGCAGUGUUUUAUUAAGUUCCAAUAAAAUUAUUGUGAUUACGUUUGCUGUUGGGAAUUAGCUCUUACGGAAGCCCUUCAAUUAAUUUAAUUAAAAAAAGUAUGUACUGUGGCUGUUGAAUGAGUGUCGUAUUUGCGGAAAGCCUAGGCAGGGUUUUUUGUGAUGUUAACGGAAACACCCAAACUGGUUUUAUUGAAAAUCCCUGCACUGUGACUGUAGAAUUAAAUGUCAUCUCUUAUGUCAAUAAUAAAUAAAAUUGUAGUGCCGUGGUUAUUCUGUAUACCAAGGGAUUGCUUACUGAUCAUGGUUGAAUAAGCUUUUGUAUAUGCAUUUAUUUAUAUCAUCGAAUUGUUAUGAUAACCUUAUUUCUUAUUACUACCUAUCUUCCUGUGCUGAUGUGACUUGAAUCAUGUUCAGAUGGAAGCUGUAAACAAUGGAGCCGAUAUCUUCACUGAAGACCAGCAAGAAAUUAUCAAGUAAAUUCAUUACCCUAUUCUGCAUAUGACUUCCACUGCAAUGUAUAGUUUUCUGUUGCUGACUGGUUUGUGCAAUGCUUUAGGCAAUUUGGCAGAAUCAAAUCCGAGACUGUGCCUGAGAACAAGGAUGCAGGGUCUGAUGACGAUGACGACGAUGAUGAAGAUGAGGAUGAUGAAACUGGUGAUGCUGAUGAUGAUGAUGCCGAUGCUGGGGAAGACUUCUCAGGUGAAGAAGGCGAGGACGAUGACGAGGACGACGACCCUGAGGCGAAUGGCGACGACGCUGGUGCGGGGAGCGACGAUGAUGAUGGUGAUGACGAUGAUGAUGAUGGUGAAGAUGGCGAGGAUGACGACGAUGAUGAUG